rnacentral:sRNA from 12 species
CGAAGCCCUCAGGAACCUGCCGCGGAUCGCCCGCGGUGCUGCCACCGCUCUCCUUCAGUGGAUCGGCCCGCGGAGGUUCCUGAGGGUUUCG